CAGCCGCCACGGGAAUACGGAGGGGGCUAGCGUUGUUCGGAAUUACUGGGCGUAAAGCGCACGUAGGCCGCUUUGUAAGUCAGAGGUGAAAGCCCGGGGCUCAACCCCGGAUGUGCCUUUGAGACUGCAGGGCUAGAACGUCGGAGAGGUGAGUGGAAUUCCGAGUGUAGAGGUGAAAUUCGUAGAUAUUCGGAAGAACACCAGUGGCGAAGGCGGCUCACUGGACGACUGUUGACGCUGAGGUGCGAAAGCGUGGGGAGCAAACAGGAUUAGAUACCCCAGUAGUCCCUGUCUCUUAUAA
rnacentral:rRNA from 1 species